rnacentral:rRNA from 1 species
AAAGUUAGUGACCGUGAGGUGGCGGGAACGGGUCGGUAGGAACGACGUGGGCGAACCUAGCCCCACUACAGGGGAGUAACAGCCGGAACGGCUGCUAAACCGACAUAAGCGCACAAGGGCCGCAUGGCCUGGUGUGAAAACUCCGGUGGUAUGGGAUGGGCCCGCGUCUGAUUAGCUAGUUGGCGGGGGAGAGGCCCACCAAGGCGACGAUCAGUAGCCGACCUGAGAGGGUGGCCGGCCACAUUGGGACUGAGACACGGCCCAAACUCCUACGGGAGGCAGCAGUGGGGAAUAUUGCACAAUGGGGGAAACCCUGAUGCAGCGACGCCGCGUGAGCGAAGAAGUAUUUCGGUAUGUAAAGCUUUAUCAGCAGGGAAGAAAAAUGACGGUACCUGAGUAAGAAGCACCGGCUAAAUACGUG